GCCGGGCUAGCUCAAUCGGUAGAGCGUGCGGCUCUUAUGAUCAUUGUCUCGUGUGACCGCAAGGCCGCGGGUUCGACCCCCGCGUUCGGCU
rnacentral:tRNA from 1 species